CCAUGCCGCGUGUGUGAAGAAGGUCUUCGGAUUGUAAAGCACUUUAAGUUGGGAGGAAGGGCAGUAAGCUAAUACCUUGCUGUUUUGACGUUACCGACAGAAUAAGCACCGGCUAACUUCGUGCCAGCAGCCGCGGUAAU
rnacentral:rRNA from 1 species